rnacentral:lncRNA from 1 species
CAGGGAAGAAGAAGGCAGAAUCAGGGAGAUGCCAGCAGCCACAGGGGAAGCAAGAUGUGAGGUAACAAGACAUGAGCCUCAUGUGAAACACAUCUGCUCCUGGUAGCACCAAUUACUUAAAGAAGAUGAUGGGCAUCAAAGAAGCUCCUUAUGGAGCUUGCUUUCAAAGUGGCAAGAAACUGUUUUUGCCUGUACUGCUUGAUGGCAUGCUGUAUAAACUGGACAUGUAGGACCCAUAGGAAAAUGAUUGCUGAAUUUGCCAAAACAAGAUGGGAUGAUCCUUCAGGAUUCAUGCUUCAUGAAAGAGUCUGCCAGACAUUCUGAAGGACACAGAGGAAAAUGACUAAUGAAUUUUGCCAAAAUAGGCAAAGUCCCUUCAAAGUCCCUCCUUCAUUGAGAAAUCUGUCUAUGCUCUAUGCCUAAAGGCUGAAGAUGGAUGCCCCAACACUACAGAAGGACUUUGGGUGACUGUCCAGGCAUCUAGAUGCCUUUGUCAUUUCUAGAGUUUUGGAAGUUGCUUACAAUGCACUUCCUGUUUACUUAGGUAAUAUUAUAUCCUUCUGGGAUCUUUGAUGGAGCUGAAGACUAGAUAGUUAUAGCUUUCCUUAGUUAUGAUAAAAUAUAACUUAGAUGAAAAACUUUAGAUUCAUAAAGAUAAGAUAGAUGAUAAAGUAUUUUCUUUAAUUUUGUGAAAUCAAAUAGACUAAAUAUUGUAACUAUAAUUCUUAAUUAAAACCUG